AAUUGACAUGCAGUGUCGGUUUGUUUUUAUUACUUUGGUUCAAAGACUUUACAAAAUUAAAAUAAUGGUGACAUGUUUUACUCAAGAAUUUCACCUUCAAAGAUGUUUAUUCAAUUAAUAGGUAUUUUCUUUGAUUUGUCUUGAUGCGUAAUUCCAAAGCAUACAGACAUUAUUACAACAAGCAGUUAUCUGGCGGAUUAGUAGUAGCCGAUCACCUGUACCACGUGACCAGCACAAGCCCGCCGACAAUUAAAACGGUGCGAUCAAUGGACCUCAAAGUGAACAUCUAAAGAAUUGCAGAGAUACCAAAUGGAAGUGUGAUAAUGUGGUGAAUGACGUUACGGAUCACAGCUCCAUUGUUUUGUAUACAUGUUACAAAUUAAGACGACACGGUCCUGCAGUUAAGGCGCUCCAGACAUGAAGGCGCUUACUUGGCUGGCUAAGGGAGCACGGGCCGUGUCGGCUUAUCGCUCUAGGGAAACCCUAGCCGCUACCUGAAGACACACUUGACACAUACCACUGGAAUUCACACCACACUGGUUUCCAAGGAAAUCUUCCAAGGCAUCUGGAACAGCUGGGUGAGGCCGAAGUAACCGCAUAUUGCCAGUCGUCCCCUGUGAAUCGGUGACCACAUAUUAUGAAGAUGCACCUCGACUCGUUGACGGCUUAGCCACUGCAUCAAAGUCUUCCCUGGACAGCCUGGUACAGGCCAAAUCAGACCAAUACAGUGACACUCCUCAAAGAGUUAUCUCCCCUUGACCAGUCGUCAACAUAUAACCAAGUGACUUUCGUGAAGUGCAAAAUGUUAGUAUUCAUGUUGGAGCAAUAAAAUGUAUAAACC